rnacentral:rRNA from 1 species
UACGUAGGGGGCAAGCGUUGUCCGGAUUUAUUGGGCGUAAAGAGCGUGUAGGCGGCCAUACAGGUCCGUUGUGAAAACUGGAGGCUUAACCUCCAGACGUCGAUGGAAACCGUAUGGCUAGAGUCCGGAAGAGGAAAGUGGAAUUCCUGGUGUAGCGGUGAAAUGCGCAGAUAUCAGGAAGAACACCAAUGGCGAAAGCAGCUUUCUGGGACGGUACUGACGCUGAGACGCGAAAGCGUGGGGAGCGAACAGG